rnacentral:rRNA from 1 species
GAUGAACGCUGGCGGCGUGCCUAAUACAUGCAAGUCGAGCGAACAGACGAGGAGCUUGCUCCUCUGACGUUAGCGGCGGACGGGUGAGUAACACGUGGAUAACCUACCUAUAAGACUGGGAUAACUUCGGGAAACCGGAGCUAAUACCGGAUAAUCUAUUGAACCGCAUGGUUCAAUAGUGAAAGACGGUUUUGCUGUCACUUAUAGAUGGAUCCGCGCCGCAUUAGCUAGUUGGUAAGGUAACGGCUUACCAAGGCAACGAUGCGUAGCCGACCUGAGAGGGUGAUCGGCCACACUGGAACUGAGACACGGUCCAGACUCCUAAGGGAGGCAGCAGUAGGGAAUCUUCCGCAAUGGGCGAAAGCUUGACGGAGCAACGCCGCGUGAGUGAUGAAGGUCUUCGGAUCGUAAAACUCUGUUAUUAGGGAAGAACAAAUGUGUAAGUAACUAUGCACGUCUUGACGGUACCUAAUCAGAAAGCCACGGCUAACUACGUG